rnacentral:rRNA from 1 species
GAGCACGUAGGUGGGUUUGUAAGUCAGAUGUGAAAGCCUUCUGUUCAACGGAAGAAUUGCAUCUGAAACUGCGAGUCUUGAGUGUAGGAGGGGAGAAUGGAACUUCUGGUGGAGCGGUGAAAUGCGUAGAUAUCAGAAGGAACGCCGGCGGCGAAAGCGAUUCUCUGGCCUAUUACUGACACUCAGUGUGCGAAAGCUAGGGGAGCAAACGGGAUUAGAUACCCCAGUAGUCCUAGCCGUAAACGAUGGGCACUAAGUAGAGGGG